AUGCUUCUACCUGGCAGGGAAUUUCAUGGUGAUAUGGUUUUCCCUGAGUGAGGCUCAUCCAUUGAAUCUGAAUGUCCAAACCCCUGUUAUUUCCCCAAAUACAGGAAUCUGGGCAAAACUAUUUGUGGUAGUGGGAGAGGGAACUCACU
ensembl:snRNA U1 U1 spliceosomal RNA